rnacentral:tRNA from 1 species
GGGGGUGUAGCUCAGUGAUAGAGCACAUACCUAUCAUGUGUGAGGCACUGGGUUUGAUCCCCAGUGCUUCCU